UGAGAACUGGGCGUCAACAGUACGGCCAGCAGGGUGGAACAGAGCGCACCUCUCCUUUAGCAAAGAGCAGCAUGCCAAUCAUGGUGAAGAGGCAGAGGUGGAGAGCCAGGAGCAGGAUAACACUGGGAGAGAAAGUAGCUAGCUCAUGCAUCUGUAUCCAUGGUGGAGGUGAAGACUUUGAGGGAGGCUGCCAUAAACAAACUUCGAGUCUAACUUCCUAUUGAGAAGGAAUUCUGAAGGAUUUACAACCCGGCCGGCUUCAGUCCACCUUCACCUUCAAAACUGUUGACCUUGUUCAAGAUGUAUUUAGAUUUUUUAAUGGAACCUUUAUUAUACUAGCCAAUAUGAGAGGAGGUGCUGCAAAGGAGAUGCAGAGCAUUCUGGAUGUGCUACGGGGUAUGUGCUCAUAAUACAGUCACAUAACAGUCAAUAAUUACAUUGUGACAACUUUGUUAAUUUGAUUGACUGUAGUAUAUACAACCAUUUGAAUUACUUCUCGUGUCAAUGCAACACCGUCCAGAACAGAAGAGACUGGGUGAUCAGUGGCCUGAUAUUAUACUUCGGCGAAAGGGUAGAGGACCUUAUCAUGUCAUAUGUCACAACAGGUCUAAAUAUAUGUGUCAUGGCAGUGUUAUGUCCUCUGUUAUGACAUUGAAUGGUUAUGACCGUGUUAUAACAUGUUAUGAAGCUAUGCUUCUAAUAGUGUGAACUACUGAAACGCUUACCCCCUU